GUGACGAUAGCCUAGGAGAUACACCUGUACCCAUGCCGAACACAGAAGUUAAGCCCUAGAACGCCGGAAGUAGUUGGGGGUUGCCCCCUGUGA
rnacentral:rRNA from 1 species